CAGGCACCCUAGUCUGUUUUCAGAUGAAAGAGAAAGCUGCGGCUCUGAAGCUGAAGGGUCACUGGGGCUCUGGGCAGACAGGACAGGACACCCAAGCAGACAAGGAAAGAGGAUGGCUCAGAACGUUCCACCUAUAAUGAUUCCUUUAGG